UCCAUCUUUCAUUUCACCACUUCGUAAUUUCUUUAAUUUUUGGGUUACAGAGAAUUGACAAACUUAUGUGAGAUCUACAAUCAUUGCUGAGUAUAAUGGUACCAAUCAAAAAGACUGAUCUUGCAAAUGAUAUGAGUUAGAGCAAAUAAUACAGAGGUGUGUCGCAUCAAAGAGUGUGUCAAUGAUAAGUGAGUGAGAGGAGUGGCAGCCAAUCACAGAGCAUCUUACAAACCUCUUGCUAGGCUCCAGGUGCAAGCUUCAUCUGAACGCACUAUAAUACCACUGAAGCAGGUAACUCUAGCACCAUCACCGAUUCAUAUACAGAGAAAGGGAAAGGUACCAGCUGAUAAGCUUCAAACUCAUCCUUUGACUUGAAGGGAACAUGAAUGACUAUAGCUUCCAACGUCAAGAAUGAGUCCAGCUAAGGACAGUAGUGGUGUAUGGCAUGCACAUCAAACAAAGGUGUUAGUUGGUGUUCUUCCUCUCUUAUUUUUAAAGCCCUUUGUAAAUCUUUGACAGAGGAACGAGAAGUAACCCUACCACGAUCUACAUCCACAACAUUCUGAAUUAUUAGUGCAUUAGUAUGGAGAACAAAGUUGACCACACUUUCCAAUGCAGGCAAGGCUUGUGCAACUAGUGCAAUUUCGUACAGAUUCCCCAUGCCGGUAAACACCUCGUUAAGGGCAGUCCCUAAGGCUCUAGAAAAAGAAGCAAUGUUUUGUACCGCAUGCUCAAGUUUGGCAAAGUGUAAAGAAUUCAUAUGAAUGGCUUCGUGUUGAGUAGCAGCAAGCGAGGCCAAGUGGUUAUACUUAUUCCGGAGGUCCUCCACAUCCUCAUCCAUUGCAGUUCCAAACAACAUGCGGGAAAAUUGCUUAAUUUCAUUGAUCAAACCCCGUUUAGUACGGUCAGAGAAGGAAAGGUCGGCGUAGUUAUCAAAAGCAAGGGUUAGAGUGUCAUUCAGGUACCUCAAGCGCUCAUGCAUCAUACGCGUGAUGAUGUCAAUAAGAUUUUGAUAGUAAAAGAGCCAGGUAGGACGCGUAGCAAUGGUUUUAAGUUAGACAAAUUCAGAUUCAACAAAGACAUAGGUAAGAAUUGGUUCGCCAAUAGAGUGGUGGACGAAUGGAACAGGCUUGGGGGCCAUGUUGUGGGUGCCAAUACCGUAGAUACAUUCAAGAAGAGGUUAGAUAAAGCCAUGGAUGGUGAGGUAAGGUGGGGUUGAGUGUACAGGAGCUGCCUUGUAUAGGCCAACCGGUCUCUUGCAGACUCCUUACGUUCUUAUGUUCUUAUGUUCUUAUGCUGAAGUCUGCUAACGACAGAGCGCAAGACAUCUAAAAUUUUCCUAUUAGCGCGUUCAACAAGGUCGUUGCUGGCUGGGUGAUAACUGACUGUAAAACUUUGUUUUAUGCCAAAUUGCAUAUUUCUUCUAAAACUAGGCGUGGAGUAUGGAUAAAAUAGAUGAGUUACUAGGGCAUGAGCAAUGGACUUAUCAGAUUUAUCUUUCACCGGGGCCAAAACAACGUAUCGAGACAAGUGAUCUACGCCAACCAAAAGAUACUUAGAGCCCUGGGCCCAGAUUCACUAACGCCUCGCAGAUACGACAAUCUUAAGUGGAUCCAAUAUGGCGGAAAUAAGAAUGUCGUAUCUUGCGAUUCCCAAAAGAAUCUUAAGUCCGCCAUGUUUAGAUUUUCCUGCCUUAACGCUGUUUCACACUCCCGCCGACAGACGGCGUAGUAUGAUGUUGACAUAUUUCGUUCAACCAAUGGCAGCGCUCGAUACAUACGUACUCUAGAGACAGUAGCCAAUCACCACCAGUGCAGCACGUGGCCCGUGACAGAGGCAGGCGAUGUUGUCUGCCCCACCGGGAGUACGGAGAUGAAGUGAGGAAGUUCAGGAGACUGAGUGUAACCUGUAAGUGUAGUGGGUGCUACAACACCUAGCAGCCCAUAUGUCCCAGCAGUGGUGCAGCGUCGGACCCUUAAACUUCCAGGCAGGAGACACAAGAUGGACACAAGAUAAAAGAUUCUGAAGCAAGACCAAGCAUAUAUUACUGGAUAGUUUGCAGAAAUGUGUAGAUUUCCUUGAAUCGUCUCAACCAGAAUGACCGCAAUAGCUGGACCUUUACAGGACUUUGUUGAAUAUUGCAGGGCAUGAAAUUCUGUAUUUCUUAUGCAUCACUAAAGGUCUCUUUUGAUUUCUUCAAACAUGUUUUGUAUUUGCAAUUUAUUUAAUUGUUUUCUGUUGGAAAUAACAUAUAAAAAGAUGUUUAAUAGCAAGCUGUGAAGAAUUGCUCCAAAUAGUACACACCACGGUGCUAUAUGCUUUACAUUUUAUUAAGAGUAUAAUAAGCUCAGCCAUAUUGUCCUGCAGUUAAUUUUUAGUCAGAUAAUUUCUCCCCUUUUUUUACAAUUUAAGUUGUGAUUGUGUUCAUGUAUACCAGCAGCUCUUUCUUUAAUUAUAUUAGUAAAGAAGUUGUUAUUAUAUAUAUGAAGUCAGAUUAAGUGACUUUCAAAAGCAAUAUAAUUAAGUCCAUUUAGCCUGUGUCACUCUCAAAGUUAUACGCCUCCGUGGUCUACUGGUUAGCGUGCCUGGCUUCUACUCCGCAGGCCCGGGUUCGAAUCCCGGCCCAGGCAGUCUGCGUGCAGCUCACCCAGCUGUUCAUCCUCCCUCUUGGGCUGGUCGAUAAAUGGAUAUCUGGGGAAAUCUGGGGAAGGUAAUCUGUGGUAACCCAAAUAUCACACUGGCCCUGUGUCCCGGGGUAAUGGGGGCUCCCUUCCACCACAGUCUCAAGGGCCAAUGUUACGAAGAUGAGCACCGAGGCCAUGCGCUGCUACUACGUAUCCCCCCAACUUUACUACUCUUACUCUCAAAGUAUAUAAUUGUGUGUUUGUGUGUAUGUGAGUGUGUGUGUGUGUGUCACAUCCUGGAAAGCCCAAGACUUCUCUCAAAACUCUGAUGACUCAAGAAAGAGUCUGGCUUCCAGCUAUAUCUUGAGAGCCAACAGUCAUCGUGGAAAUUUUCUAGGUAUAGUGGAAUGUGUUUUGACAGUGGGCAGUGCCAUUGUUUUUGAAGAACUCUACCGAGUUCUUAACGAAACACCCAUACACCAAUUUGCUCGAUGAUUUCCUCUAUUUUAUUGCCAGUACACUAUUUAACACAUUUAAAUAUUUAAUAAUGUAUAUAUCAAUGCCCACUUUUUCAUUAUGUUCUCAACUUGUGCCAGCAACAUAUGAGUCAGUACUUUAGUAAAGUUAGGUUACAUAAAUGAAAAAAGUGCAUAUUUGAGUUAAAAACAGAAACAGUAUUUUCUUGUCAAUACCCAAAAAAUAACUUGAAUUUCAAGGUGAGAAAGAUUUUUUUUAUAGUCUAUGGACAAAGAACCUUUAUUUUCUGGUUUUAAUGUUGUGCUAUAAGUAGAAUAUGAAGUAAUUAUAUAUUUUUCACUUAACAUGAAAUAAAUAUCAAUAUAUAUAAAUAUUUUGCCUCAACCUAAAAUUAUAAAAUACUUUUUCAAUUAUAGUAGCUAUGAAACUAUGAGUGGGAAUACAACUGGGUGAUGAAUCAAACCUUGACAGGUGUUGCUAGGUUGCUAAUUUACCAGCAAUAGGUUACCAUGUGAUGGAGAUGAGCACCGAGGCCACACACAGCUAUGCGUAUGCCCCCAACUUCACCCUACCCUUACUAGACACAUCAUCUAUAACACCCAGUAAAACUAGCAUACUAAAUAGUAAAUGUAAUACCUUAAUACAGUAAAUAUCAUUGAGACAAGAAUGAGCCAUGGGAUGACUCAAUUACCAAAAUAUCCAACAAACAUAUAAUGCAUGUUGCAAAGAAUGGGUAAUUGCUUAGCAGGAGCAGUCUAUUUGAGAUGCAAAUUACUUAUUUCCUGUGAUAUGUUAUGAUGCUUUUUAAUGGGGCUCUGUUUAUUACCACAAUAAUUCAGCUAUGAAAGUGCUACAGCAAAUUUACCCCAGAAUUCACUAUAACAAGCUCUGCGGCAUAUAUUGUCCAGCCGUCUUCACUCCCAAAUCUAUUUACAAACUAACAGACUCAUUUUAACCUAGUGGAUGGUAACCUAACUCUGCUAAAAUUGUAACCUAUAAUUGCCGCUGGGGAUAGUAGCCUAUCGUUACAGAGGAGAGUAAACUGUCAACCCAAGUAUGAGACUCACCAAAUCAACUCUAGUACUUUCAUAAUUGCUUCCUGGUGAUAACUAACUCCACAAAAAAAGACAUGAUAAUUUACCCAGUAAUGAAUAGUUUGUGUCUCUAAAAUAGGUCGCUAAAAUCUGCUAAACAAUGGCAA